UGAGUACAGAUCUGCUGGCCUCGCCCUAUU
rnacentral:piRNA from 1 species